rnacentral:rRNA from 1 species
AGUGAACGCUGGCGGUAGGCCUAACACAUGCAAGUCGAACGGCAGCACAGUAAGAGCUUGCUCCUACGGGUGGCGAGUGGCGGACGGGUGAGGAAUACAUCGGAAUCUACUUUUUCGUGGGGGAUAACGUAGGGAAACUGACGCUAAUACCGCAUACGACCUACGGGUGAAAGCAGGGGAUCUUCGGACCUUGCGCGAUUGAAUGAGCCGAUGUCGGAUUAGCUAGUUGGCGGGGUAAAGGCCCACCAAGGCGACGAUCCGUAGCUGGUCUGAGAGGAUGAUCAGCCACACUGGAACUGAGACACGGUCCAGACUCCUACGGGAGGCAGCAGUGGGGAAUAUUGGACAAUGGGCGCAAGCCUGAUCCAGCCAUACCGCGUGGGUGAAGAAGGCCUUCGGGUUGUAAAGCCCUUUUGUUGGGAAAGAAAAGCAGCAGGUUAAUACCCCGCUGUUCUGACGGUACCCAAAGAAUAAGCACCGGCUAACUUCGUG